rnacentral:tRNA from 1 species
UAGUCAUUAGUUUAAAGAAAAUAUUUGUGUGUCAAACAAAAGAUAAGAAGUUUUA